GCUGGGUGUGGUGGCACACGCCUGUAAUCCCAGUGACGCAGGAGGCUGAGGCAGGAGGAUCACAAGUUUGAGGCCAGCCUUAGCAACUUAGCAAGAUCCUGUCUCAA
rnacentral:sRNA from 1 species